rnacentral:rRNA from 1 species
AGGAUGAACGCUGGCGGCAUGCCUAACACAUGCAAGUCGAACGAGACCUUCGGGUCUAGUGGCGCACGGGUGCGUAACGCGUGGGAAUCUGCCCUUAGGUACGGAAUAACAGUGAGAAAUUACUGCUAAUACCGUAUGAUGUCUUCGGACCAAAGAUUUAUCGCCUAGGGAUGAGCCCGCGUUGGAUUAGCUAGUUGGUGGGGUAAAGGCCUACCAAGGCGACGAUCCAUAGCUGGUCUGAGAGGAUGAUCAGCCACACUGGGACUGAGACACGGCCCAGACUCCUACGGGAGGCAGCAGUGGGGAAUAUUGGACAAUGGGCGAAAGCCUGAUCCAGCAAUGCCGCGUGAGUGAAGAAGGCCUUAGGUUGUAAAGCUCUUUUACCCGGGAAGAUAAUGACUGUACCGGGAGAAUAAGCCCCGGCUAACUCCGCGCCAGCAGCCGC